rnacentral:rRNA from 1 species
UUUGAUCCUGGCUCAGAUUGAACGCUGGCGGCAUGCUUUACACAUGCAAGUCGAGCGGGUGCGCGGGGCAACCUGGCGGCGAGCGGCGAACGGGUGAGUAAUAGAUAGGAACGUAUCCGGGAGUGGGGGAUAACUAGCCGAAAGGUUAGCUAAUACCGCAUAUUCUCUGAGGAGGAAAGCGGGGGACCUGUAAUGGCCUCGCGCUCGCGGAGUGGCCUAUCUCCGAUUAGCUAGUUGGUGAUGUAAAGGCUCACCAAGGCGACGAUCGGUAGCUGGUCUGAGAGGAUGAUCGGCCACACUGGGACUGAGACACGGCCCAGACUCCGACGGGAGGCAGCAGUGGGGAAUUUCGGACAAUGGAGGCAACCCUGAUCCAGCCAUGCCGCGUGCGGGAAGAAGGCCUUCGGGUUGUAAACCGCUUUUAUUCGGGAAGAAGGAGUAGGGGCUAAUAACCUCUAUGACGGACGGUACUGGAUGAAUAAGCACCGGCUAACUACGUGCCAGCAGCCGCGGUAAUACGUAGGGUGCGAGCGUUAAUCGGAAUUACUGGGCGUAAAGCGUGCGC